rnacentral:rRNA from 1 species
UACGUAGGGUGCAAGCGUUGUCCGGAAUUAUUGGGCGUAAAGAGCUCGUAGGCGGCUUGUCGCGUCGGCUGUGAAAACCUGGGGCUCAACCCCGGGCCUGCAGCCGAUACGGGCAAGCUAGAAUUCGGUAGGGGAGACUGGAAUUCCUGGUGUAGCGGUGAAAUGCGCAGAUAUCAGGAAGAACACCCGUGGCGAAGGCGGCUCUCUGGGACGGUACUGACGCUGGGACGCGAAAGCGUGGGGAGCGAACAGG